AGGAGGCUGUCCCCUACCCGAUUCCCCAUCUAGCUGUCCCUCCACGCCUUUAGGAAGGCAUGGGGUAGCCCUGAGUAUGAGGGAACACCUUGGGAGCUAACGGUCCCCAGAGGCCUCAACCUAACCAGUCUGCGGGGCAGGCUCAUUCCCACGGCCUUUCUCCCACGGGAACCACCCCUCUGCCCUGAAGUUGCCCAGGUAGGCCAGUGGAGAGGGCCUGGAACCAGGAAGACCCUUGAAUCGCCAUUUGGAACCCACACUUGGGGGAAAGGGGUGGCCGUGGCUUGGUGCCAUCAGCGUCCUGGGACCCCAGGUCUCUCUUCCCCGCAUUGUGGGCAUUCUGUGUGUGCCUCCCACCCUGCGCCGCAGAUCCCUGGACUCGUGGGGUGUGGGUGCUCCCUGCCCGUGCCCCCUGUGUACGUGGCUUUCUGCCCUCCUGCCCUUCCCCAGCUCCAGCAGUACCCGCGGCUGCGGGAGGAGAUGGAGCGCAUCGUGACCACCCACAUCCGGGAGCGCGAGGGCCGCACUAAGGAGCAGGUCAUGCUUCUCAUCGAUAUCGAGCUGGCUUAUAUGAACACCAACCAUGAGGACUUCAUAGGCUUUGCCAAUGCUCAGCAGAGGAGCAACCAGAUGAACAAGAAGAAGACUUCAGGGAACCAGGAUGAGAUUCUGGUCAUCCGCAAGGGCUGGCUGACUAUCAAUAAUAUUGGCAUCAUGAAAGGGGGCUCCAAGGAGUACUGGUUUGUGCUGACUGCUGAGAAUCUGUCCUGGUACAAGGACGAUGAGGAGAAAGAGAAGAAAUACAUGCUGUCUGUGGACAACCUCAAGCUGCGGGACGUGGAGAAGGGCUUCAUGUCGAGCAAG
rnacentral:sRNA from 1 species